GGUCGAUUAGCUCAGUGGUAGAGCACUGCAUUGACAUUGCAGGGGUCACUAGUUCGAACCUAGUAUCGACCACCA
rnacentral:tRNA from 1 species